rnacentral:lncRNA from 1 species
GGAGUCCGAAGUCAAAAGGGAACUAGAGGGCUUGACACAUCCCUUGCAUCUUCCAUUUACUCUGACCACAGUCCCUCCCUGUUCUCACAAGUGGAGCUAAGCCCUGCUUCCCUUCCUCUUGAUUCCCAGCCAGCUACAUGACUGCCUGAAGUUACAUUGUAGAUGCUGAAAUCACUGCACCUUAAAAACAAAAAGAUUAAGCUGCACUGCAUUCUUAUGUAUAGAGGCAUGUUAUAG